rnacentral:rRNA from 1 species
CAGCCGCCGCGGUAAUACGGAGGGUGCGAGCGUUAAUCGGAUUUACUGGGCGUAAAGCGUGCGCAGGCGGCCCGUUAAGACAGGUGUGAAAUCCCUGGGCUCAACCUAGGAAUUGCGCUUGUGACUGGCGGGCUCGAGUACGGUAGAGGGGGGUGGAAUUCCUGGUGUAGCAGUGAAAUGCGUAGAGAUCAGGAGGAACACCGAUGGCGAAGGCAGCCCCCUGGGCCUGUACUGACGCUCAUGCACGAAAGCGUGGGGAGCAAACAGGAUUAGAUACCCUGGUAGUCCACGCCCUAAACGAUGGGUACUAGCCGUUUGGUGCGCGAUAGCGCUGAGUGGCGAAGCUAACGCGAGAAGUACCCCGCCUGGGGAGUACGGCCGCAAGGUUGAAACUUAAAGGAAAUGGCGGG